rnacentral:lncRNA from 1 species
CUUCUUCUGGAUUGCCAUGCUUCCCACGUCCGCAUUCUUCUCCGAAUCUCCCAUCUUCUUCCGCUAGAUCUCAGCUAGGAUGAGCCUUCUGAACUCCCAGAUCUCCUAUCAUCUCGUUCGGAACAGAGUCCCAUCGCCCAGCUCGCUCCCAACCGUUCUGUAAGUUCCUCCCAUGCUAGUCUUCCCCUGUUCCGAGUUCAUCCUUAUUCCCAAGCUUCCCAGCCAUCAGCCGAAUCCAAACUCCCCUUAUCCACGGAUUCAUCCCA